CCAUUAUUUGUCUCCACUCCAGAUGGCAUUCAGCGGACAGUCAGCCGUAAUGCGUGCACGUGUCAGGAGGACCAAAUUCAGUGAGAUUCCACAUGAGACAGUUAUUGCCUUUUCUCCUGUUUUCGCACGAUAUUGCACCUCUUCCUCCUCUCCACCAGUCAUGCGUCAGUGAAAU